rnacentral:rRNA from 1 species
ACUCAAAUGAAUUGACGGGGGCCCGCACAAGCAGUGGAGCAUGUGGUUUAAUUCGAUGCAACGCGAAGAACCUUACCUGGGCUCGAAAUGUAGAGGACUAGGCAAGAGAUUGUCUAUCCCGAAAGGGUCUCUAUAUAGGUGCUGCAUGGCUGUCGUCAGCUCGUGCCGUGAGGUGUUUGGUUAAGUCCAGCAACGAGCGCAACCCUUAUCGUUAGUUGCCAGCGCGUAAUGGCGGGAACUCUAACGAGACUGCCUAGGUUAACUAGGAGGAAGGUGAGGAUGACGUCAAGUCCGCAUGGCCUUUAUGUCCAGGGCUACACACGUGCUACAAUGGUCGGUACAGAAGGCAGCGAAACCGCGAGGUGGAGCAAAUCCUAGAAAACCGAUCUCAGUUCGGAUUGCAGUCUGCAACUCGGCUGCAUGAAGUUGGAAUUGCUAGUAAUGGCGUGUCAGCAACAACGCCGUGAAUACGUUCCCGGGCCUUGCACACACCGCCCGU